AUGAAUUUUAAUUAAAUAUUUUGAACCUAAUAUUUUUCUCCAAAAUGUUAAAAAUAAUUCUAAAAUUUUUGAGAUAUUAUAGACCUUUAUAUAUAAAUUGGAGGUUAUAUGCAAAAUUAUUUCAGAUGUGGAACUCCACACGGAUAGAAAAAACAAGGCUUUUCCCUGUGACUUCAAUUCAUGUCUUUUUCAGGUAGGAGUUUCACCGGAUUUCCCGAUGAAUUUCUUGCGUUUAGCGGUUAGGCCAUGCCUUAGCCCCUAUUGGCCUUAGCUCGUUGCAAGAAUCUCACCGGGAAAACCCGUGAGCGUCCUGCAUUUUUACUGUGAUAAUUUUCACGCGUUAAAUGCAUAUUUUUUCAUGGGGAAAAGCCUUGUUUUUUCUCUCCGUGCAGUACUGUUGUUUUAUAUAAAAUUAAUUUAAUUAUUUAAUAAGGAGAAUUCUGCUCUAAAAAUCAUUAUGGGCAAGUGUACCAAUUACCGAGGGUGUCCCAUUUGUCGAUGUUACCAUGGUUUUCCAGGUUUCCAGUUUGCGUACCAACCCUGUAUCUUCUUAAAGUACAAAAAAUUGUAGACAUUUUUUCUGAGAAAAGAAAGGAGG